GCCAUAUAGCACUGAAGCACCAGUUCCCAUAUAUUCACCAAAGUUAAGCAACAUCAAGCCUGGUAAGUAGCUAGAUGGGUGACCACUUGGGAAUACCACAUGCUGUAAU